rnacentral:tRNA from 1 species
CUCUCGGUAGCCAAGUUGGUUUAAGGCGCAAGACUGUAAUUYACCACUACGAAAUCUUGAGAUCGGGCGUUCGACUCGCCCCCGGGAGA